rnacentral:tRNA from 10 species
UGGGAGAUCGUCUAAUGGUAGGACGUAAGACUUUGGAUCUUACUAUCUAGGUUCGAAUCCUAGUCUCCCAGCCU